GACGAACGCUGGCGGCGUGCUUAACACAUGCAAGUCGAACGGAAAGGCCCCUUUGGGGGUACUCGAGUGGAGAACGGGUGAGUAACACGUGCGUAACCUGCCCUUGACUUCGGGAUAACUUCAGGAAACUGGGGCUAAUACCGGAUAGGAAUCCUUGCUGCAUGGUGGGGGUUGGAAAGCUUCGGCGGUUUUGGAUGGACUCGCGGCUUAUCAGCUUGUUGGUGGGGUAGUGGCUUACCAAGGCUUUGACGGGUAGCCGGCCUGAGAGGGCGACCGGCCACAUUGGGACUGGGAUACGGCCCAGACUCCGACGGGAGGCAGCAGUGGGGAAUAUUGCACAAUGGGCGGAAGCCUGAUGCAGCAACGCCGCGGGCGGGAUGACGGCCUUCGGGUUGGAAACCGCUUUCAGCAGGGGCGAAGCUUGUGGUGACGGUACCUGCAGAAGAAGCACCGGCUAACUACGUG
rnacentral:rRNA from 1 species